GAUGAACGCUGGCGGCGUGCCUAAUACAUGCAAGUCGAGCGAACAGACGAGGAGCUUGCUCCUCUGACGUUAGCGGCGGACGGGUGAGUAACACGUGGAUAACCUACCUAUAAGACUGGGAUAACUUCGGGAAACCGGAGCUAAUACCGGAUAAUAUAUUGAACCGCAUGGUUCAAUAGUGAAAGACGGUUUUGCUGUCACUUAUAGAUGGAUCCGCGCCGCAUUAGCUAGUUGGUAAGGUAACGGCUUACCAAGGCAACGAUGCGUAGCCGACCUGAGAGGGUGAUCGGCCACACGGGACCUGGGACACGGUCCAGACUCCUACGGGGGGCAGCAGUAGGGAAUCUGCCGCAAUGGGCGAAAGCUUGACGGGGCAACGCCGCGUGAGUGAUGAAGGUCUUCGGUUCGUAAAACUCUGUUAUUAGGGAAGAACAAAUGUGUAAGUAACUAUGCACGUCUUAACGGUACCUAAUCAGAAAGCCACGGCUAACUACGU
rnacentral:rRNA from 1 species